rnacentral:rRNA from 1 species
GCUUACCAUGCAGUCGAGCGAAGCGCUUUACUUAGAAUUCUUCGGAAGGAAGAGUUUUGCGACUGAGCGGCGGACGGGUGAGUAACGCGUGGAUAACCUGCCUCAUACAGGGGGAUAACAGUCAGAAAUGGCUGCUAAUACCGCAUAAGCCCACAGUGCUGCAUGGCACAGUGGGAAAAACUUAAGGUGGUAUGAGAUGGAUCCGCGUCUGAUUAGCUGGUUGGUAAGGUAACGGCUUACCAAGGCGACGAUCAGUAGCCGGCCUGAGAGGGCGACCGGCCACAUUGGGACUGAGACACGGCCCAAACUCCUACGGGAGGCAGCAGUGGGGAAUAUUGCACAAUGGGGGAAACCCUGAUGCAGCGACGCCGCGUGAAGGAUGAAGUAUUUCGGUAUGUAAACUUCUAUCAGCAGGGAAGAAAAUGACGGUACCUGACUAAGAAGCCCCGGCUAACUACGUGCCAGCAGCCGCGGUAAUACGUAGGGGGCAAGCGUUAUCCGGAUUUACUGGGUGUAAAGGGAGCGUAGACGGCUGUGCAAGUCUGAUGUGAAAACCCGGGGCUCAACCCCGGGACUGCAUUGGAAACUGUGCGGCUAGAGUGUCGGAGAGGUAAGUGGAAUUCCUAGUGUAGCGGUGAAAUGCGUAGAUAUUAGGAGGAACACCAGUGGCGAAGGCGGCUUACUGGACGAUGACUGACGUUGAGGCUCGAAAGCGUGGGGAGCAAACAGGAUUAGAUAC